rnacentral:tRNA from 1 species
GCUAAUAUAGUUUAAUAAAAACAUUGGGUUGUGGGCCCAACAAUAGAAGUUUAAUCCUUCUUGUUAACC